rnacentral:rRNA from 1 species
UACGGGGGGGGGCAAGCGUUGUUCGGAAUUACUGGGCGUAAAGGGCCAGUAGGCGGCCAACUAAGUCGGAUGUGAAAUCCCCAGGCUCAACUUGGGAACUGCAUCCGAUACUGGAUGGCUUGAAUUCGGGAGAGGGAUGCAGAAUUCCAGGUGUAGCGGUGAAAUGCGUAGAUAUCUGGAGGAACACCGGUGGCGAAGGCGGCAUCCUGGACCAAUUCUGACACUGAGGAGCGAAAGCCAGGGGAGCAAACGGGG